CGUUUUCCCUUUGGGGCAGACCCUCGGAUUUCAAUGAAUCAAUACAAUCGAUGUUGUCAAACAUUGAACGGAAAAAAGAUCGAAUGAAAAAAAUCGAUUUUGCUAUAAAAUCGAUUUUGAAAAAAAAAUCGCAUCGGCAUCGCCCAAUACUAAUUGGUGAAAUUGGUGAAAUUAAUAACCAGAUCAUGUCAUUGACUUUAAAGUUUAUUUUUUUUUUUCAAUAUCGUUUGGUAUACAAAGUUUUAUGAAAUAGAAUGCGAUGGAAAUGUGGAUUUAACAAAAUAAGUGCUUCAAUGUUUGAACCAGCCCUCGGCGAUUUUGAAGAUCCCGUUUCUCGAUCCACAGCUUCAUUUGAUGCUGGAAUAAAUGUAUCAUCGCUGGUUAUGUUGGAACUAUUGGCAGGAAUUUCUUGUGCGGUUGAACUUGAUUCAUCCGAUAUUUCAACAGUUCCACAGAUCUCCCUUUAUUGGAUACUUCAGAGUUAUUCGCAUCUGCUCUCGGAGACCACCAAUCCUCCAAACACAUUUCAACCACUGAGCAUUCAACUCGAGCAUAUCACACCGAGGAAGCAAUUUGUUAUUUCCAAGAACCAAAGCUCGAGUAAAACAAUCAACAUUCUCGUAGGUGCCAGUCCUGCAUAUCUUCUUGGAACCAGCUAACAUAUCCAAGCUCGACAGCUAGCUGAAGUCACAUAUAUUUCCACCCAAGCGAAGUGAUCAAUCACUUGUAAGUAGGACACUCAUCCACAAACCAGUCAUGAACAUAUCCGUACCAACGAGAAUGGAUCAUACCAGACGAAGGCCACAGGUCCAGCACCAACUUGUCCCAUCUCAGUAAAAAAAUAGACUUGUGCCUGUUCCUAACUCUUUGAAAGCUCUAUUUAAUCAGAGAUCACUGAUUGGUUGAUAAAAAGAAACAUCAGUCGUUAUCUACUCAGACCAAACAAUACGUAUUGCGUAUCCCUGCAUAUUAAAAUCUCCGCUAUCAGUUUCUAGCUUAUCAAACUGAACAAGCAAAAUUAAUAUACAUUGUGUAGUGGCACUACCCGGGGGAACUUGGCCAAAUACCAAUUGCUCCAUUGCCAAUGCGAUGUGAUAUAUGAACCGGAAUAUUAUUUGAUGAUAUCUAAAAAGCAUACAAUCCUAUACAAACCAUAGCCCAACAUUAUUGAUUUUCAACUACCAUAACUUGAAUUUUGAUUAACAACUCUUUUCCUAAAAUUGAAAAAUACGCGAUUUUUACACAUUGGCAGAUCAUCCCCAUUUGUAUUGCAAAUAUCCAAUGCCAUUUAUUUUCAGCUGCCGUUACUAAAUGCCUAUUAAAAAAAAUAUUUUUUUUGCACGGUUUCUCGAAAUAACACGAUUUUUUUUUGCACGGUUUCUCAAAAUAACACGGAUUUUUUUUACACGGUUUCUCGAAAUAACACGAAUUUUUUUUACACGGUUUCUUGAAAUAACACGGAUUUUUUUUGCACGGUUUCUCGAAAUAACACGGAUUUUUUUUACACGGAUUCUCGAAAUAGCACGGAUUUUUUUUACACGGUUUUUUUUCCACGGGAUGAUCAAAUCAUUAAACUGGUAUAUCGAAAUAGGUAUUUUAUACAUAAAAAUCGUGUUAUUUUGCUAAACCGUGCAAAAAAAGUCGUGCAAAAAAAAUCCGUGCAAAAAAAGUGCGUGCAAAAACAGA